rnacentral:rRNA from 1 species
ACGGCUCAGUAACACGUGGAUAACCUGCCCUUAGAACGGGGAUAAACCCGGGAAACUGGGUAUAAUACCCGAUAGAUCUCGACUGCUGGAAUGCAUCGAGAUCCAAAGCUCCGGCGUCUAAGGAUGGAUCUGCGGCCUAUCAGGUAGUAGUGGGUGUAGCGUACCUACUAGCCUACGACGGGUACGGGUUGUGAGAGCAAGAGCCCGGAGAUGGAUUCUGAGACACGAAUCCAGGCCCUACGGGGUGCAGCAGGCGCGAAAACUUUACAAUGCUGGCAACAGCGAUAAGGUGGACCUCGAGUGCCAGGUUUACAAAUCUGGCUGUCGUGAUGCCUAAAAAGCAUUGCAUAGCAAGGGCCGGGCAAGACCGGUGCCAGCCGCCGCGGUAACACCGGCGGCUCGAGUGGUAACCGUUAUUAUUGGGUCUAAAGGGUCNGUAGCCGGCCGGAUAAGUCUCUUGGGAAAUCUGGCAGCUUAACUGUCAGGCUUUCAGGAGAUACUGUCUGGCUAGAGGCCGGGAGAGGUGAGAGGUACUUCAGGGGUAGGGGUGAAAUCUUGUAAUCCUUGAAGGACCACCAGUGGCGAAGGCGUCUCACCAGAACGGACCUGACGGCAAGGGACGAAAGCUAGGGGCACGAACCGGAUUAGAUACCCGGGUAGUCCUAGCCGUAAACGAUACUCGCUAGGUGUCGGCCACGGUGCGACCGUUGUCGGUGCCGUAGGGAAGCCGUGAAGCGAGCCACCUGGGAAGUACGGCCGCAAGGCUGAAACUUAAAGGAAUUGGCGGGGGAGCAC